rnacentral:RNase_P_RNA from 1 species
GGCGGAGGAAGUUCAUUUUAGAGGUCCACAUGCUGAGUGCUCGUCACUCCACCAAUCACUCGGGGGAAGGUCUGAGACCAGAGCCCACUGGUUACCCUCCGCAGGGGAUCCUGACUACGGGGUGAGCGACCCUGCGCAUACUAGUGAACAGAAAGAAUGGGUCAAUUGUGAGCAGUUCUAGCAGGAGAAAUGCCUUCGGUGGCGCAGUUUCUCAGCUCACCGGUGGAUGUGAAUCUCACUGACUUGGAAAAUCGCUCGCGCGGCUGGCGGAGAUGUUGCGAUGUAUGAGGUCGGGCCCACAGCUCAGAACCCAAUUCAGGGACUACUCUCCCCCCAC